CUUACAUCAGUAGGUCUCCUACCAUACACUCUAUCAGUGAGUGACUUAUGAUUGAUGGGAGUCACGGCUGCUGUUUAGCUUUUAUCUGUGACCUCAAAUAAUGGACAACAGGAAUUUCCAGGCUGUUAAAUUCCUUGAAUGACUGAAGACACAGGAUGGCUCUGCUGAUAAAUGCAGGUGGAGGAGAGAGUCAACAGCCAUAUUUGCUGGAGUGGUGAACCAAAUUGCCUUGACUGGAACCAUUACUCACUUGCACCUUUGACGGCAGCAGCCAGGAAAUUUGAAGAUAGUCAUGCCUAUUAGAUGCCUAGAAGAUGCAGAUAGCUGUGUCACCAUGGAAGAGAUGAAGAGAACUUUGCUCUACUAGAUCGCAAAUAUCUCUAGGUCAUUCUGCAUCUCAGUAUUUAAUAACAAUGGAAAAUGUCCAAAUGCUAUAACAAGUCUUUGCAAAUGUAUAAUAAACUGUUUAGGAAAGUUCCUGCCAUGGUCAGAACUGUAUAAUACUCACAUU
rnacentral:lncRNA from 1 species